UGGGGAAUUUUGGACAAUGGGGGAAACCCUGAUCCAGCCAUCCCGCGUGUGCGAUGAAGGCCUUCGGGUUGUAAAGCACUUUUGGCAGGAAAGAAACGUCAUGGGUUAAUACCCCGUGAAACUGACGGUACCUGCAGAAUAAGCACCGGCUAACUACGUGCCAGCAGCCGCGGUAAUACGUAGGGUGCAAGCGUUAAUCGGAAUUACUGGGCGUAAAGCGUGCGCAGGCGGUUCGGAAAGAAAGAUGUGAAAUCCCAGAGCUCGACUUUGGAACUGCAUUUUUAACUACCGGGCUAGAGUGUGUCAGAGGGAGGUGGAAUUCCGCGUGUAGCAGUGAAAUGCGUAGAUAUGCGGAGGAACACCGAUGGCGAAGGCAGCCUCCUGGGAUAACACUGACGCUCAUGCACGAAAGCGUGGGGAGCAAACAGG
rnacentral:rRNA from 1 species